AUCAACAUUUUCUUUUACAAUAUUAUCGUCUAUAUUCAUUAUACUGUUCAUUAGAUCUCUAUGGCUCAUUUACUAUUCGUUGCAAGUUCAUACCCUUAAACAGC